rnacentral:rRNA from 1 species
UACGUAGGGUGCAAGCGUUGUCCGGAAUUAUUGGGUUUAAAGGGCGCGUAGGUGGCCUUAUAAGUCAGCGGUGAAAGUCUGCAGCUUAACUGUAGAACUGCCAUUGAUACUGUAAGGCUUGAGUACUGAUGAGGUAGGCGGAAUUGAUAGUGUAGCGGUGAAAUGCAUAGAUAUUAUCAAGAACACCGAUUGCGAAGGCAGCUUACUAAGGAGUUACUGACACUGAGGCACGAAAGCGUGGGGAUCAAACAGG